AUGUUACAAGGCAUCUACAAUAUUCAGCCUAUUUUCCUUGAGAACGAAUUCGGAAACAACUAACUUAGAUACUCAAGGAUUCUACAACUUGAAGCUUCUUGAAUCUUAUCAAUGAUAUAUCAUUAAGGUUAAUGAAAGAAGCACUGAAUUCGAGAAGGACAAAAGUAACGUGGUAGAUGCUAACAAGAUAUGUUAUUUUCAGUUGCUUAUCUUACAGAGAUUAGUAUAAAUGGACUCAAGAUAUUACAAAAUCUUCUCACAUAUCUUCAUCAAAGAAAGAUAUCGACUGUAAGCGAAAGAAAAUAUUACAUGAUCAAAGAUUCAAAGCACCCACCUGUUAGCACAUUCCCC